GCAACAAAUGGCCACAAACCGAUCAAAGGUGAAACUGACGGUGAACCAGACAGAGCAGUCAGUGGCUGCAUAAAGCAGGACAGCGUGGAUAUUACACACGGGGACGGAGUACAGGAAAUAAAACUGUUCCUGAUAAACAAUGGGAAUGUGUCUCAGGAUCAGGUCGAGGAUAAUGACCAGGAGAUCCGCCGCUGCCAUGGCCCCCAGAUGUUUCGUCACGAUGACUAGGUGAUAUCAUUAGUGAGAGUCUCUGGUGACGCACUCGUGAAACAGGAGAAAGGCUGUUCGUCAAGAGAAGCUGUAAGGAAUGUGAAGAGGUCAUUCAGGCCCUCAACUCCAUACCACAGGAGCACCACGUGAGCACCGAGCGAUUGCAGCCUGUUACUCAGUAGCAGGAGGGAGACAUCUACUAUCACAAGCCUUGGAUCAGGAGGCAGUCACUCAGCUGCCCAAGAUUGGGACACAGGAACAGAACGCAGUCAUUCAACUGCUUGAGACUGGGGCACAGGGACAGGAGGGAGUCACUGAGAGCUCGAAGCUGGGGCACAGGGAACUCUGGAGACUAGUGAGGCCCGAGGAUCCUGUUAUGCAAGAACAGCAGGAGGUGACUCAGUCCCCACCAGUAUGGGACACUGGGAGAGAAGGGGAGUUUUCUUGGAACACACAGAAAUAUAUGAAUAAAUUGCAUUAGUGGUCCAUUCAAUCCUGCCCCACCAUUCACGAAGACCACGUCUGAUCUGAUUAUGAUUCCCUCAUUCCAUUUUACGGAGACGCCCCUCUCUGCAGCCUCUGCUCCAUUUGUUGGUCAUGUUGCAGACCCAGAUGCUGCAACAACAUUCACCAUGACUUAUCCAGAGGGAUCGGUCUAACAGGAUGAGUCAGGAUUUGAAAGGUCCAAUCACAAGAAUGAAAACACAAAAUAAAGGUAUUGCCAGAUGUUUACUUCUCUCACAUUUGCAAUCCAACUCACAAAACCACCCCAUCUAUUAAAUAUUCAGGAUGGAUCACUGUGUAGGUCCGGCUAGUGUAUAGCUGAAUGCAACCCAGCAAUACCCAGAAUGGAACUCUGUGCAGCCCACACCAAUGCUUGAUCCAUAAUCCUGGACUAAAUAUCCAGCGUGGGGAGUUGUGCAGACCGCACUGGUUCAUUCAUAUAUAAGCCCAGGCUAUUGCAUUUUUCGGUAACACUGUGUUAGAUCACUGCCCAGUGUGGGGAAACUUGCA